GUUUGUGUGUGUGUGUGUGUGUGUGUGUGUGUGUGAGUGAGUGUGUGAGUGUGUGAAUGUGAGUGUGUGAGUGAGUGAGUGUGUGUGUGUGUGUGUGUGUGUGUGUGUGUAUGUGUGUGUNACACACACAUACACACACACACACACACACACACACACACACUCACUCACUCACACACUCACAUUCA
rnacentral:pre_miRNA from 14 species